AGAGUUUGAUCAUGGCUCAGGACGAACGCUGGCGGCGUGCUUAACACAUGCAAGUCGAGCGGGGUUUAUCGGAUUAGCUUGCUAAACCGAUAAACCUAGCGGCGGACGGGUGAGUAACGCGUGAGCAAUCUGCCUCAUACAGGGGGAUAACAGGUGGAAACACCUGCUAAUACCGCAUAAGACUCCACUACCGCAUGGUAGAGAAGUCAAAGGGAUUACCGGUAUGAGAUGAGCUCGCGUCCCAUUAGCUAGUUGGUAGGGUAAAGGCCUACCAAGGCGACGAUGGGUAGCCGACCUGAGAGGGUGAUCGGCCACACUGGGACUGAGACACGGCCCAGACUCCUACGGGAGGCAGCAGUGGGGAAUAUUGCACAAUGGAGGGAACUCUGAUGCAGCAACGCCGCGUGAGUGAAGAAGGUUUUCGGAUCGUAAAACUCUGUCAUUGGGGAAGAAUAAAUGACGGUACCCAAUGAGGAAGCCCCGGCUAACUACGUGCCAGCAGCCGCGGUAAUACGUAGGGGGCGAGCGUUGUCCGGAAUUACUGGGCGUAAAGGGUACGUAGGCGGCUAUAUAAGUCAGGUGUGAAAUACCAGUGCUUAACACUGGAAUUGCAUUUGAAACUGUGUAGCUUGAGUGCAGGAGAGGAAAGUGGAAUUCCUAGUGUAGCGGUGAAAUGCGUAGAGAUUAGGAGGAACACCAGUGGCGAAGGCGACUUUCUGGACUGUAACUGACGCUGAGGUACGAAAGCGUGGGUAGCGAACAGGAUUAGAUACCCUGGUAGUCCACGCCGUAAACGAUGGAUACUAGGUGUAGGGGGUAUCGACCCCCCCUGUGCCGGAGUUAACGCAAUAAGUAUCCCGCCUGGGGAGUACGGUCGCAAGACUGAAACUCAAAGGAAUUGACGGGGGCCCGCACAAGCAGCGGAGCAUGUGGUUUAAUUCGAAGCA
rnacentral:rRNA from 1 species